rnacentral:rRNA from 1 species
UACGUAGGGUGCAGGCGUUAAUCGGAAUUACUGGGCGUAAAGCGUGCGCAGGCGGUUUUGUUAGCCAGAUGUGAAAUCCCCGGGCUUAACCUGGGAAUGGCAUUUGGGACUGCAAGGCUCGAGUGCGGCAGAGGAGACUGGAAUUCCUGGUGUAGCAGUGAAAUGCGUAGAUAUCUGGAGGAACACCGGUGGCGAAGGCGGCAUCCUGGACCGAGAUUGACGCUGAGGCGCGAAAGCUAGGGGAGCAAACGGG